rnacentral:tRNA from 1 species
GAGCAGAUGGCGGAAUUGGUAUACGCAUACGUCUCAGAAGCGUAUGGAGAAAUCCUUGGGGGUUCGAGUCCCCCUCUGCUCA